rnacentral:rRNA from 1 species
GGGGAAUAUUGGACAAUGGGCGCAAGCCUGAUCCAGCCAUGCCGCGUGUGUGAAGAAGGCCCUCGGGUUGUAAAGCACUUUCAGUGGGGAAGAACGCCUUCCGGCUAAUACCCGGGAGGAAAGACAUCACCCACAGAAGAAGCACCGGCUAACUCCGUGCCAGCAGCCGCGGUAAUACGGAGGGUGCGAGCGUUAAUCGGAAUUACUGGGCGUAAAGCGCGCGUAGGUGGCUUGAUAAGCCGGUUGUGAAAGCCCCGGGCUCAACCUGGGAACGGCAUCCGGAACUGUCAGGCUAGAGUGCAGGAGAGGAAGGUAGAAUUCCCGGUGUAGCGGUGAAAUGCGUAGAGAUCGGGAGGAAUACCAGUGGCGAAGGCGGCCUUCUGGACUGACACUGACACUGAGGUGCGAAAGCGUGGGUAGCAAAC